GGCCUGCCGCCGCCACCGCCUCAGGGAAGAGGAAGGAGGCCGCGGCUUCGCGUCCCGCCUCUCGCCUGGCUGGCCGUGGGGGGCCUGGACGCAGUGGCCUCCCGAAUCUCCCAGGACCCUAAUGUCGCCCGAGGAUGCUGGGAGGAACACUGAGCCGACCUCUCCGUUAGGCUGAAGAUUGCACAAACCAUGCUAAUGGCCAGCAUGGGUGGAGGGAGCGUGUGAGAUGUGUGGGGCGGCGUGCUGCAUCUCAGCCAACUCCAGGAGGUUUCUAUAUGCUGCAAGUGACAGACAAGUCUACUGGAACUGACUUUAAGGU
rnacentral:lncRNA from 1 species